rnacentral:lncRNA from 1 species
AUCACCUGCCAUUCCAGUUGAACACUGGCCUCAGGCUCGCCGUGCCUGCUAUUUGACAUCCCUUCCUCUUCUUUGCGCAACUCUUUCCUUUAACCUAGAAUGAUCUCCAGAACGAUUUCCUUUCGCCUACAAUGAUCUCCAGAUGGGGUCCUCUGGGGCCCAAGGGAAGCCCCACCUAGAAGAGAAUGAGGACAGCACAUUGCACUCUCACCUCCUUUGCAGUUAAGUGUGAAAUAGUGCCAAUAGAGUGUAAAAGAAAAGAAAGAAGAUGAUUCACCUCCCAAAGAUUCCCCACUGCUGUGUCCCUUCUAUCAACUUGAUACAAAAAAACACAAUGGCCCCGGGAACCACGUGUUGAAGAUGAGAGAGCUAAAAGAUGGAAAGAGACUGGAGCCCUGAGUCACCACCUGGAGGAAAACUACCCACCCAUCAGGAAUUUCUACUACACAUUUGGGAGUUUUUGGGGUUACAGCAGCUAAUUUAACGAAAACACCCAGAGACAAGAGCUAUUACUGCACAAAUUGGUUAAGUUACCUUUUUGUAUGUUUGGGUCCUCUCUAUUCGAUGAGACUGCGCGUUCCUUUGAAGCAAAUCUGUUUAAAAUUCUUAUAUCCCCAGAGGGCCUAGCAGAGAGUAUGCACAGAGUGAGCCUUCAGUAAAUGCUGAGUAAAUAAGCUCCUAAUGGAUGAAACUGUGUCUUCGAAGUUUGUUCUGACCAGUACUUAGUAUAGGAUUUUGUGCUGUUGGUCACUUUUCAUAAAGGUUCUUGCUAUUAAGGAACUUGACAUCCAAUGUACUCAUAGAAAGUAGAAAUUCAGGGGAAACAAAUAGAAGAGAUAUGUCCAAAAAUCCAUUUAAAAUUUCAUUGACAGAUAUUUAUCUCUUUAAUCCUGGAAGUUGUUUCAUGUAAGGGAAGGUUCAGUAGAAUGAAAACAGGACUGUAAGCUGGGAGGAGAUUUGGGGUCUCUUGGCCAACUCUGCCACAAAUUGUGUUACCUUCAACUUCCCUGCCUGUAAAAUGAAGUCAGUGGUCCCUAAAAUGAAAUUGGACUAAUGGCAAAUUAGCUAGCAUUUGAUUAUACAUCGAUAGUUUCCCCAUGUGAUUUUAACGCACAAAUCAGAUUUUGGAACCAUUAGGUAGGUGAUCUUAUCUUAUGAGUUUAUCUUUUUCAACAUGGAAAAAUAAAUUUGUUUUGCUGACCGAAGGCUGUGUAACUUAGAACUGGAAAGAGACAUGUAAUUGAAUAACCCAUCUCUAUGGGGCAAAAAAAUGAAACACCUUUAGUUUGUUCAAAGAUGAAAUGGAAAAAUAAACAUGUU